rnacentral:tRNA from 1 species
GCUGAAAUAGCUCAGUUGGUAGAGCGUAAGACUAUAAAUCGAGAGGUCCUUGCAUCGAAUCCCUGCUUCCGGCA